rnacentral:rRNA from 1 species
GAUGAACGCUAGCGAUAGACUUAACACAUGCAAGUCGAGGGGUAACGUGUUGGAAGCUUGCUUCCGAUGACGACGACCGGCGGAUGGGUGCGUAACGCGUAUGCAACUUGCCUCACAGUGGAGAAUAACCCGGAGAAAUCCGGACUAAUACUCCAUACACUCUUAAGUACGCCUGUACAUGAGAGGAAAGAUUUAUCGCUGUGAGAUAGGCAUGCGUCCUAUUAGGUAGUUGGUGAGGUAACGGCUCACCAAGCCGACGAUAGGUAGGGGUGCUGAGAGGCAGAUCCCCCACAUUGGGACUGAGACACGGCCCAAACUCCUACGGGAGGCAGCAGUGAGGAAUAUUGGUCAAUGGAGGAAACUCUGAACCAGCCAAGUCGCGUGAAGGAAGAAUGUCCUAAGGAUUGUAAACUUCUUUAGCGAGCGAGUAAGGACUUCCACGUGAUGGGAGUUUGAAAGUAGCUCGAGAAUAAGUAUCGGCUAACUCCGUG